rnacentral:lncRNA from 1 species
UGGGUAGCAACAGAAACAGAUUUUUUAAGACCUACUAAUUCUGAUAUCUCGCCUCUGUUACAGAUAGGAAAAGGUGGGACAUCUGGUAACACUCCCAUAAAUGAAAUAUAAGUGGAAGUUGUUGGGUGAAGUUUAAGUGGAUUGACUUAGCCAGCAGAGACCUAUUGUCUCUCUCCUUUCUGAGUAGAAGAUGUUUGAAGUGGAAGGAUCUUCAGCAACUUCUUCACAAGAAUCAAAGGCUGCAACACUGAUGGAGAAGCUGAGAGUCUGUAGUCAGGAUGGUGGAGCUGAGCCUGGAACUUCAGUUUCGCAUUCCAAGUUUCAUGCCUUUUGCGCUAGUCCAAGAAUCUUCGCUGGAGAAUCACAAAUGUGGAGGGGUUCUGCUUUCACCCUGCCAGCAGAAACUGCUUCAUGGGAAGACAUAAGCAAGCACCCACUCCUCCCUCUGUCGGUGCCUCCAGGAAGCAGCCCUGGCGGGGUUUGUGUGGAUCUGCAGGUGCCUGCUGCACACCGUGCAUCUGUAGCACAGAAGUAAGCAGCAGAGUCCGCGGCCCGGGCAGCAGCGAUGGACAGGGAGCUGCUUUUGCUGGAGGUGUCAAGGGCAGCUCUUAGUCUUCCACUGUGUUUCUCUCUCUCAUUUGUUCGAAUUAAAAUUAGCAGGACAGGGCCUCCACCUGCAUCCUGUCGAUACCACUGCAGGUUGGUUAUAGUGGUUUUGUAACUGCAGCUCAGAGUGGCAUUUUCACCCUCCUGGACGCUCAGAGACUGAAGAACCUCUUCUCCUUGUUGGCUGUUCACACCUAGGCAGAAGCACAGGCAGAGGUAGAGUUCAGUCCAUGCAUUUCCAGAUUAUGUUUCCAAUUUAGCAAGAUUUAACCUUUCAUCACACGGGGGUUAAAGUUUGGUGUCCCUGCUUCCCUCACCAAUAACCCCACUCACUGGACAGUUGAAACCACAGGAUCACCAAAGACAUUCCCAGGAUUCUCUCCAUUCUUCUUUGUUGGAUUCUCAGAAGACUGAGCUCUGGGGCAUGAAACAGCCAGGCUCUUCAGUCCGGAGAGUUAGUUCCCAUUGUAUAUAUCCUUCCUGCCUCAUAGUCUUAUUUUCGUAUCUUGCCAA